rnacentral:sRNA from 1 species
UCCUUCGAGGGGGAUGGAGCAGGCACGGU